rnacentral:piRNA from 1 species
UCCACCUUCAUUGCGUACAGU